GCACCGGUGGUGCAUGGCGCACGCUGCCGUUAAAUGUGGUGAUCGUUGGCACGUUUCAGGCAGAGCGGGGUUCGAUUCCCCGCCGGUGCA